AAGGAAGCACACUUGGGUCAUAGAUUAAGCCAUGCAAGUCUGAGUUCAGGCAACGAAACUGCGUACAGCUCAUUAACAGACUCAUAACCUAUAUGACAGCGACUUUGGUCAUAAGGAUAGCUGGAGUAAAUCUCGAGCUAAUACUUUAUAGAGUACCUUUAGUUCGGAAGGGACAGAGGUAAAGUAGACCGGCAACGGCAAGUCAAACGGAUGAGUCACCUAUCAGCCAGUACUUAGGAUCUUUACCUAGGUAGGCUAUAACGGGUAACGGGCGGUUACCGUCGGACUGCCGGAGAAGGAGCCUGAGAGACAGCUACUAUUCCUACGGGGAGCAGCAGGCGCGAAACUUACCCACUCGAGACACUCGGAGGUGGUAAUGACCUGUUCCAUAAUUGGGUUAAUUCUCAAGGUGGAUAGGAUGAUAUCCUAUUCAUUUCAUGUAAUCUAGCAGAGGGCCAGUCUGGUGCCAGCAGCUGCGGUAAUUCCAGCUCUGCGAGUUUGCUCCCAUAUUGUUGCAGUUAAAACGCCCGUAGUCUAUUUUCCGUAUAGAUGAUGUGUCCACACAGUCCAACGCGAAUAAAUCAGGACGCUUAGUGUUUUUCACAAGAAUGACAGAGCGCGAAAUGGAUUCUUUACCCACUCGGGUAAUUAUAAAGAGAGCGGGUGGUGCUGGUAGUAUUCCUGAGCGAGCGGUGGAAUGCAUUGACCUUAGGGAGACUAACGAAAGCGAAGGCAGCCAGCAAGUAGGUCUCUGUCGAUCAAGGGCGAGAGUAGGGGGAGCAAACCGGAUUAGAGACCCGGGUAGUCCCUACAGUAAACUAUGUCGACAUGGGAUUGGUCAUUAAUUAAAUGAUCGGUACCAAAGGAGAAAUCUUAGUUCAUGGACUCUGGGGGAACUACGAUCGCAAGACAGAAACUUGAAGGAAUUGACGGAAGGGCACACAAGGGGUGGAGCCUGCGGCUUAAUCUGACUCAACACGGAGAAACUUACCAGGACACGCUGAUUUGGUGAACGACAAUCUAAAGGAUUUUCGCAAUAUGUCUUUGGGUGGUGCAUGGCCGUUGGUGGUGCGUGGGUUGACCUGUCUUACGUUGAUUCAGAUAACGAGCGAGAUUAUCACCAUUUAAUUAUUAUUUGGUACUCAUGUACUCAAAAAUAACUAUUUGGGACUGCCUGGGUAUACCAGGAGGAAGGUGAUAGCAAUAACAGGUCCGUGAUGUCCUUUAGAUGCCCUGGGCUGCACGCGUGCUACAAUGGUUAUUGAAAUGGGCUAGCUUACCCGAAAGGGGACGCUACUCCCGAAUUUUAACCGUAUUUGGGAUUGGCGGUUGUAAUCACCGACAUGAACCAGGAAUCCCUUGUAAGCGUGUGUCAACAUCGCUCGUUGAAUACGUCCCUGCCCUUUGUACACACCGCCCGUCGCUCCUACCGAUCGGAUGACCUGGUGAAAUUAUCUGACCUUUCGGGGAAUGGUAUUUAAAUCAUGUUAUCUAGAGGAAGGAGAAGUCGUAACAAGGUAACG
rnacentral:rRNA from 1 species